rnacentral:rRNA from 1 species
AGGAAUAUUGGUCAAUGGGCGCAGGCCUGAACCAGCCAAGUAGCGUGAAGGAUGACUGCCCUAUGGGUUGUAAACUUCUUUUAUAAAGGAAUAAAGUCGGGUAUGUAUACCCGUUUGCAUGUACUUUAUGAAUAAGGAUCGGCUAACUCCGUGCCAGCAGCCGCGGUAAUACGGAGGAUCCGAGCGUUAUCCGGAUUUAUUGGGUUUAAAGGGAGCGUAGAUGGAUGUUUAAGUCAGUUGUGAAAGUUUGCGGCUCAACCGUAAAAUUGCAGUUGAUACUGGAUAUCUUGAGUGCAGUUGAGGCAGGCGGAAUUCGUGGUGUAGCGGUGAAAUGCUUAGAUAUCACGAAGAACUCCGAUUGCGAAGGCAGCCUGCUAAGCUGCAACUGACAUUGAGGCUCGAAAGUGUGGGUAUCAAACAGGACUAGAUACCCUGGUAGUCCACACGGUAAACGAUGAAUACUCGCUGUUUGCGAUAUACUGCAAGCGGCCAAGCGAAAGCGUUAAGUAUUCCACCUGGGGAGUACGCCGGCAACGGUGAAACUCAAAGGAAUUGACGGGGGCCCGCACAAGCGGAGGAACAUGUGGUUUAAUUCGAUGAUACGCGAGGAACCUUACCCGGGCUUAAAUUGCAGAUGAAUUACGGUGAAAGCCGUAAGCCGCAAGGCAUCUGUGAAGGUGCUGCAUGGUUGUCGUCAGCUCGUGCCGUGAGGUGUCGGCUUAAGUGCCAUAACGAGCGCAACCCUUGUUGUCAGUUACUAACAGGUUCCGCUGAGGACUCUGACAAGACUGCCAUCGUAAGAUGUGAGGAAGGUGGGGAUGACGUCAAAUCAGCACGGCCCUUACGUCCGGGGCUACACACGUGUUACAAUGGGGGGUACAGAGGGCCGCUACCACGCGAGUGGAUGCCAAUCCCCAAAACCUCUCUCAGUUCGGACUGGAGUCUGCAACCCGACUCCACGAAGCUGGAUUCGCUAGUAAUCGCGCAUCAGCCACGGCGCGGUGAAUACGUUCCCG